UACGGGGGGGGCAAGCGUUGUUCGGAAUUACUGGGCGUAAAGGGCUCGUAGGCGGCCAACUAAGUCAGACGUGAAAUCCCUCGGCUUAACCGGGGAACUGCGUCUGAUACUGGAUGGCUCGAGUGUGGGAGAGGAAUGCGGGAAUUCCAGGUGUAGCGGUGAAAUGCGUAGAUAUCUGGAGGAACACCGGUGGCGAAGGCGGCGACCUGGACAGAUACUGACACUCAACUACGAAAGCGUGGGGAGCAAACAGG
rnacentral:rRNA from 1 species